AUUGAACGCUGGCGGCAUGCCUUACACAUGCAAGUCGAACGGCAGCGCGGACUUCGGUCUGGCGGCGAGUGGCGAACGGGUGAGUAAUGUAUCGGAACGUACCAUUCAGUGGGGGAUAACGCAGCGAAAGUUGCGCUAAUACCGCAUAUUCUGUGCGCAGGAAAGCAGGGGAUCGCAAGACCUUGCGCUGAUUGAGCGGCCGAUAUCAGAUUAGCUAGUUGGUGAGGUAAAGGCUCACCAAGGCGACGAUCUGUAGCGGGUCUGAGAGGAUGAUCCGCCACACUGGAACUGAGACACGGUCCAGACUCCUACGGGAGGCAGCAGUGGGGAAUUUUGGACAAUGGGCGCAAGCCUGAUCCAGCCAUGCCGCGUGAGUGAAGAAGGCCUUCGGGUUGUAAAGCUCUUUCGGCCGGGAGGAAAUCGUAUGGGUUAAUACCCUGUGCGGAUGACGGUACCGGCAUAAGAAGCACCGGCUAACUACGUG
rnacentral:rRNA from 1 species